rnacentral:rRNA from 1 species
GACGAACGCUGGCGGCGUGCUUAACACAUGCAAGUCGAACGAUGAUGCCCAGCUUACUGGGUGGAUUAGUGGCGAACGGGUGAGUAACACGUGAGUAACCUGCCCCUGACUCUGGGAUAAGCGUUGGAAACGACGUCUAAUACUGGAUAUGACUGCCGGCCGCAUGGUCUGGUGGUGGAAAGAUUUUUUGGUUGGGGAUGGACUCGCGGCCUAUCAGCUUGUUGGUGAGGUAAUGGCUCACCAAGGCGACGACGGGUAACCGGCCUGAGAGGGUGACCGGCCACACUGGGACUGAGACACGGCCCAGACUCCUACGGGAGGCAGCAGUGGGGAAUAUUGCACAAUGGGCGAAAGCCUGAUGCAGCAACGCCGCGUGAGGGAUGACGGCCUUCGGGUUGUAAACCUCUUUUAGUAGGGAAGAAGCGAAAGUGACGGUACCUGCAGAAAAAGCACCGGCUAACUACGUGCCAGCCGCCGCCGUAACAC